GAUGAACGCUGGCGGCGUGCCUAGUACAUGCAAGUCGAGCGAAUGGAUUGAGAGCUUGCUCUUAUGAAGUUAGCGGCGGACGGGUGAGUAACACGUGGGUAACCUGCCCAUAAGACUGGGAUAACUCCGGGAAACCGGGGCUAAUACCGGAUAACAUUUUGAACCGCAUGGUUCGAAAUUGAAAGGUGGCUUCGGCUGUCACUUAUGGAUGGACCCGCGUCGCAUUAGCUAGUUGGUGAGGUAACGGCUCACCAAGGCAACGAUGCGUAGCCGACCUGAGAGGGUGAUCGGCCACACUGGGACUGAGACACGGCCCAGACUCCUACGGGAGGCAGCAGUAGGGAAUCUUCCGCAAUGGACGAAAGUCUGACGGAGCAACGCCGCGUGAGUGAUGAAGGCUUUCGGGUCGUAAAACUCUGUUGUUAGGGAAGAACAAGUGCUAGUUGAAUAAGCUGGCACCUUGACGGUACCUAACCAGAAAGCCACGGCUAACUACGUGCCAGCAGCCGCUGUAA
rnacentral:rRNA from 1 species